rnacentral:rRNA from 1 species
UACGUAGGGGGCAAGCGUUGUCCGGAAUCAUUGGGCGUAAAGAGCGUGUAGGCGGCCCGAUAAGUCCGCCGUGAAAGUCCAGGGCUCAACCCUGGAAUGCCGGUGGAAACUGUCGGGCUGGAGUCCGGAAGAGGCGAGUGGAAUUCCUGGUGUAGCGGUGAAAUGCGCAGAUAUCAGGAGGAACACCAAUGGCGAAGGCAGCUCGCUGGGACGGUACUGACGCUGAGGCGCGAAAGCCAGGGGAGCGAACGGG